GGUAACUCAAGGUUAAGUGUUGUUAAUUCAAAGCAGAAAGCUGGCAGAGCAAAGAAGCAAUGCUGGGGAGAAGCCCAGAGCCUGGAGCCGGAGCAAGGAGACUACAGGGGAGCUAAGAGGCCUUCACAGCUAUAGCUGAUUGAACCUUGGUAAAACAGGUUUGUAGAACAUAAAAGGAAAAUUACAAAACAUCUCAUUCCAACUACAGUUAUAUGGCAGAGUUCAUAGGACUAAAGCAGCACUAGAAGUGUAUUGUUAUUCAGAGAUAACUGUGAACAUAUGGAGGAGCAAGCAUUAAGUUUAAAAGUUAUUCCUGUUUCUUUCCCAGCCUUAAAUGCCUGGCAAACAUCAAGAAAAAGGGUCCAAAGAGUUCACUCAAAAUCUCUCCUACACCUGCUCUCUCCAGCUGUCAUAUAUGAUUAGUAUGGCCCUGCCUCCCAUGAGGUGAAGCCAGAAGAGGUUGCCUUAUACCUCAUCUGCAUAUAAAUUUAGAGAAGAACCCAGGACUCAUGACAAGAACACCUGGUUCCAGUCAUGAGGAAUGGGGUGCUAAUUAGCCCAUGGAUCUUUGCGUGGGGGAGGGAGGUACCUGGAUUAUACAUUCAUAUUUAGUAAUUCCUCACUGUGGGGGCACCAUAGCUUCAAAUGCUGUGAACUUUGCUGGGGCCCAGCCCAAAGAACUAUAUGAGGCUUUUAGCUUUGGAUUAAUAGUAUGCAUUGUUUGUACUAUAUAUGAAUAGGUAUAAAAGAGUUGCUUAAAAGUGUGUUUAUGGAGUACUGUGCCAAAACUUGCAGCAGUUUCAAAAUAGGUAAAAUGCAUCAAAUUCUCUAUAAAUUAAGUGUAUGGGUACCUGUAGUAAUUUGCCUAUAUGUUUAAUUAUGUUUAUUUCAGUGUAUUUACAUUUGCCCCUCACUACCAUGUGCUUGAGGACAGCAUGGUCAGAUAGUAAAGAAGUGGAGGAAGAAAGGGGAAGGGAGACACCUGACCCCCAAAUUUAUUUUCCUUGCUGCAGCAGUGGGAGAGGGACACAUUCAAGGAAAACCAUUAAUAAUUAGAUUCUAUACCUAGGCAUUUUUAACAAAUUUCUAAAUUUUCCAUAUAUAGAAUUUAAUUAUUGAGGGCUUUCCUAUAUUCAAGGUAGUUUUAUAUUCAAGUAAAUAUGGUAAUAUAGUUUUUCAUCUCUAGUUGUACCUAAAGCUGAUGUGUGCAUCAUGACAUAUGGUGUGAAGGUAUGUUUAUAUUCUAUAAUGUGAAUGACAUUAUUCAGUAAUGUAAGUAGUAUAGUGUGUACAGCUUUCAUCUAAAUUCUUAUCAUGAUUAAAAGUAGGCAGGACUAAAGGAGGGGUUUAAAAGUGGGCUUGGCUAAAGACAGAAUGUAACGUAGGUAGCACUAAAUCCUAAAUGGAAUGUACCCUUUUUCUGUUACUAUUGCCUGGCCUAGUAAGAGCAGGAAAAGUUUUGUUUUUUUAAUUAAAAAGCUGCUGAAAAAUGCUAAUCAUACCCUAUCUGUUAUGCCCAAGAAUAAUACAUGUCGUUAUAGUUCUUGACAACCUUUUGGUAGUGAACUUCCUUGUAAAUACCCUUUUACUAAGUCUGUAGAGGGUCUGCCUGAAACCUUUAAUGAUAAGUUGUUUCCCAUUUCCAGUUCAUUUCUGGGUCUGCCAAGGAGCAUGCAGGGGGGGCCCCCAUGCUCCCCUGGCUCGGCAACUGCUUCUUCCUGGGUCGGGGGGGCCACCCGGGGUCCCUCCACACCAGUUGCCAAGCCAGGAGAGUCCGCUGGGAAACACAUUUCCCAGCGGACCCAGAAGUGGACCAGAAAUGGUAUGUAGAACAUUUUUUUAAAGCUGUGUCUAUUUCCGAAUUACUCAUUCUCUGAAUUAGCAUUGAAUCUUCAGAUUUGGAUUCAGCUGAAUCGAAUUGGGGACAGUGAUUUGAAUCACUGAUUCAAGCCAAAUCUGAAUUGAAUAGGGCCUGCUUUGCACACCCCUAGUACAGAAUGUGCUCUGUCAGGGGGGAAAAGAGCCAUACAAUUAACCCAAAUACAAAGUACAUAGUUCCUUUUAAGAAUUCCCAAGACAAGUUACAAGCACUUAUCCUGGCAUGAGAAAUGUAACCUGGUAAGGUCCCAUUUUUUCUAGAUGCUUUGAGGAUGCUGUAGCAAAACCCCCAGUUUUUCUAUCUUUUUUUUUUUUAAUUUAUUUUAAAAUGCAUUCCCUCCCCUUCCCCAAACAUUUCUGACUGUUUCUCUCCCUC